ACACAAUUUUUUUUUUGAAACAUCAGUUCUCAUCUGAUUACCGAAGUUAAACAAUAUUGAGCCCGGUCAGUACUUGGGAGGGUGACCAUUUAGGAACACCGAGAGACACUUCCU